UUUUUGAAGAGCUUGAUCCUGGCUCAGAGCGAACGCUAGCGGUGCGCCUAAGGCAUGCAAGUCGAGCGCUGCGUUGCACACAGAACACAAUUGGCUCUGUAUUGGCUAUUAGCAAUUGGCUACGAGCGAUAUUCGUUCGAGCUCACUGCUAAAAGCUACAAGCUGACUGUGCUCUGCGUGCAGCGCAGAGCGGCAAACGGCUGCGUAACACGUGGGAACCUACCCCGUACUCAGGGAUAACCCGAGGAAACUCGGGCUAAUACCGGAUAGUCUCGUAAGAGCAAAGCUUUUGCGGUACGGGAGGGGCCUGCGGCCUAUCAGCUUGUUGGUAAGGUAACGGCUUACCAAGGCAAUGACGGGUAGCUGGUCUGAGAGGACGACCAGCCAGAAUGGGACUGCGACACGGCCCAUACUCCUACGGGAGGCAGCAGCUAGGAAUCUUCCGCAAUGGGGGCAACCCUGACGGAGCGACACCGCGUGGGGGAUGAAGCGUGUUUCACGCGUAAACUCCUGUUCUGAGGGACGAAAUUUUUGACGGUACCUCAGCAGAAAGCACCGGCUAACCCCGUGCCAGCAGCCGCGGUAAGACGGGGGGUGCAAGCGUUGCUCGGAAUUACUGGGCGUAAAGCGUCUGCAGGCGUCCUGCACAGGUCUAUUGUGAAAUCUCACAGCUCAACUGUGAAUCUGGAAUAGAAACCAGCAGGAUUGAGUCAUCCAGAGGCACCUGGAAUGCCAUGUGUAGGGGUUAAAUCCGUUGAUCCAUGGUAGAACGCCAAAAGCGAAGGCAGGGUGCUGGGGAUGUACUGACGCUCAGAGACGAAAGCGUGGGGAGCGAAGGGGAUUAGAUACCCCCGUAGUCCACGCCCUAAACGAUGUGUGCUCGGUGUGGGGACUUCAAUCAGUCUCUGUACCCUAAGCUAACGCGGUAAGCACACCGCCUGAGUAGUACGGUCGCAAGACUAAAACUUAAAGGAAUAGACGGGGACCCACACAAGCGGUGGAGCAUGGGGUUUAAUUCGAUAAUAAGCGAAGAACCUCACCCAGGCUUGACAUCUCGGGAAUCGACUGGAAACAGUUGAGUGCCGCAAGGAACCCGAAGACAGGCGCUGCACGGUCGUCGUCAGCUCGUGCCUUGAGGUGUACUGUUAAGUCAGUUAACGAGCGCAACCCUCAUCCUGUGUUGUUCUUUCACAGGAGACUGCCGCCUCCAAGGCGGAGGAAGGUGAGGAUGACGUCAGAUCAGCGUGGCCCUUAUGUCUGGGGCAACACCCAUGCUACAAUGGUCGGUACAGAGGGCAGCAAAACCGCGAGGUGAAGCCAAUCCCAUAAAACCGAUCUCAGUUCGGAUUGCAGUCUGCAACUCGACUGCAUGAAGUUGGAAUCGCUAGUAACCGUGAAUCAGCUACGUCACGGUGAAUAUGUUCCUGGGUCUUGUACUCACCGCCCGUCAACUCAUGGAAGGCAGGAGCACCCGAAGGACCCUUACCCCGCACCCUUGAUGGACUCGAAACAGUUCAUCAUCUUUCGUAACCGAGAUGUAAGACAUGAUCUUACAUCAAGGGUGCGGGGGGGGUACCACGGUGAUAUUGCUGACUGGGAGUAAGUCGUAACAAGGUAUCCGUAGGAGAACCUGCGGAUGGAACGUUUCCUUA
rfam:Candidatus Peribacteria bacterium RIFCSPHIGHO2_02_FTLL_49_16 rifcsphigho2_02_scaffold_1373, whole genome shotgun sequence.